GAAAUCAUUGCCACUCUCAUUCAUGAUUGCCUGUGAGACCGUUCUCGGUGGAAACACAUCUAUUCUUACGAAAAUAUUCUUCACUGAUAAGAAAAUAAAAAACCGAAAUAAUACCGGAGCUGGAACAGGAACAGCAACAGUAGGCGAAACAAAGACCAUAUAUUCCACAAUACCAACAGCUACAGAUGACACGAUCUGGAAAAAAAUCCCGGAAACAAAAACAAAAUGUUUCGGAACAACACCAACAGCAA